GAUUAUGAAGUGUCAGCCACUUGUAAGAAGCAAAUACCAGGGACUACCCAAACCCCAUAAAGCUUCCUGGGCUUCAAACCCAUGGUCCUGCCUAUUGCAGAGAGAAAAGAUUGUUCUGAAGCCGAGAAAACACACACACACACACACACACACACACACACACACACACACACACACACACACACGUUUCUUUCUUGUUUUCAGCUAGGUAAGUGGGAUUCUUGGUUCUGUGGCUCUGUGUGAACCCAAGCACUGCAGUAGCUGAUAUCGCUCUCAGGAGACAGAGAAUUGGCUUCGUUUCUUGUUGGCCAUCAAGGAAGGGACUUUUUGUUUGUAAUUUGUGUGUCCUUUUCACUCUAUCUUUUUCUGAGAGCCUCUCAAGCUAGCAAUGAAAAAAUGAAGCAUGGGAGCGAUUCCACCUAGACAGGCCCUACCUCCCUGCUGAAUGGAAUGCGGUUUUCUUGCUUCUGUGAAACCACUGAGGUCUCACUUUGAGGGGACAAUGUCGGAGACUAACGAGACAAGGGCCGAGUACCAGGCGGUCAGCCUGACUGCCAGAGGCAUGCAUCAUAUUAAAAGGGCUCCUCUGGAUCCUCCCCCCGCCCCUUGCAGAACAAAUGUGGUGAAAAUGCUUGGUGCAUGCUUAGUUUUGCAAUGAGAACCAGUCUUCAGUGCACAGACAGAGAAGUCACCUUCGUCCUCUUGAGAGUGAUAUUUUAAAAGAGUGAGUAUAAACUACAUCUGUUCAUGUGUCUGUCGGGAACAUUUGUCCCUGGCGAUCUACAGUUUCUUGUUCACGGGGGGGGGGGGGGGGGGGGGGACAUUGCUGCCAAAGGACACUAGCCUGUCUGGCUAUGGUUGUAGUCAAGUAGGAUGCCUGCAAGCCAGCCUGAGCACCCUUCUGUCCCGACACCAAUUCACAGGUGGUUCUCCUACAGCAGGGUGGUGCCACGCUCAUGAAGGUGGCAU